GACGAACGCUGGCGGCGUGCUUAACACAUGCAAGUCGAACGGAAAGGCCCUGCUUGCCGGGUACUCGAGUGGCGAACGGGUGAGUAACACGUGGGUGAUCUGCCCUGCACUUCGGGAUAAGCCUGGGAAACUGGGUCUAAUACCGGAUAGGAGCCAUUUUUAGUGUGAUGGUUGGAAAGUUUUUUCGGUGUAGGAUGAGCUCGCGGCCUAUCAGCUUGUUGGUGGGGUAAUGGCCUACCAAGGCGGCGACGGGUAGCCGGCCUGAGAGGGUGGACGGCCACAUUGGGACUGAGAUACGGCCCAGACGCCUACGGGAGGCAGCAGGGGGGAAUAUUGCACAAUGGGCGCAAGCCUGAUGCAGCGACGCCGCGUGGGGGAUGACGGCCUUCGGGUUGUAAACGCCUUUCGCUAGGGACGAAGCUUUUUGUGACGGUACCUAGAUAAGAAGCACCGGCUAACUACGUG
rnacentral:rRNA from 1 species